rnacentral:rRNA from 1 species
GACGAACGCUGGCGGCGUGCUUAACACAUGCAAGUCGAACGGAAAGGCCCUGCUUUUGUGGGGUGCUCGAGUGGCGAACGGGUGAGUAACACGUGAGUAACCUGCCCUUGACUUUGGGAUAACUUCAGGAAACUGGGGCUAAUAUCGGAUAGGAGCUCCUGCUGCAUGGUGGGGGUUGGAAAGUUUCGGCGGUUGGGGAUGGACUCGCGGCUUAUCAGCUUGUUGGUGGGGUAGUGGCUUACCAAGGCUUUGACGGGUAGCCGGCCUGAGAGGGUGACCGGCCACAUUGGGACUGAGAUACGGCCCAGACUCCUACGGGAGGCAGCAGUGGGGAAUAUUGCACAAUGGGCGGAAGCCUGAUGCAGCCACGCCGCGUGGGGGAUGACGGCCUUCGGGUUGUAAACCGCUUUCGCCUGUGACGAAGCGUGAGUGACGGUAAUGGGUAAAGAAGCACCGGCUAACUACGUG